rnacentral:rRNA from 1 species
UACGAAGGGUGCUAGCGUUGUUCGGAAUCACUGGGCGUAAAGCGUGCGUAGGCGGCUUGACAAGCCAGAGGUGAAAGCCUGGAGCUUAACUCCAGAACUGCCUUUGGAACUGUCUGGCUAGAGUGUUGGAGGGGAUAGCGGAAUUUCUAAUGUAGCGGUGAAAUGCGUAGAUAUUAGAAGGAACACCGGCGGCGAAGGCGGCUAUCUGGACAACAACUGACGCUGAGGCACGAAAGCGUGGGGAUCAAACAGG